CGCGUGUGCUUUACUCUCAUCACUCCCACCCUUUCCCAUUGGCUGCUUCCCUCUCCCACACACAGACACACACACACACACAUGCACUGGCUCUGAGCUCAGACACCAGAGUUGACGUUCUCGAGCGGAGGUCGAGAGAGGGACAGAUGGGAUCCGCACACACACCGGAAAGAGGCACACGAUGCUCCGUGCAGCACUGAUCACGACCGAGACAUCGAGAAGAGACUCUCGCAUCGAAAAGAGGACAGCGAGACGGAGGAAAGAAGAUGUUACAGAAUGAGCAGGAUGGGAUUGAGAAACCUGAGCAUCUCCGAAGCUUCCUGAAGACGACAGCAAGAUCUCUUUCUAGUCUCCAGCGCGUCUGAAAAGGACAGUUUUGAACGUCUCAUGCAGUUGUGCUCGGAUCGAACGGGAAGUUUCUGAUGUUCCAGUUCUGUUCCUGUCUCAAGAAAAUGAUGAGGUGAACGACACAAGCAAAGAAACUCAAAGGCAAAUGUGAGAGAUAAAAGUCAACCUGAAGAGAUGCAUUGCCCAGUCCUGGACUGUCAAGAUAUGCUACACCAGAGAGGACUGUGCACACAAGCUUUGAAUUGGAAAGUAGGGCAUUAAAGGUGUCGGGACAUCCUCUCACUGGUCAGCCUGAAAACUGUAUCCCAUUAACAUUUUAUUUGCCUUGAUAUUUUUAGGACAAGCACGGUUACAACUGCUGCAGACGUACACAGUGAGAGCUAUGUGUCUUGAGAUUUUGCUCUUGGCUAUGAAACCAUGAUGCAGACUUCUGGGACAUACUCGCAAGCCUACCCUGCCAAAGUUUCAUGCUCUUCAGGACUUAUACAAAGAGAGUAUCACCAAGGUUGCUCAUUGAGUGUUUAAGUGUCCCUGUGGACUAAUGGGGCUGAAGCUCAGGAUACAUUCAGUCCCUCUUUUGCAUAUAAAUACACUUGCUUAUAAAGACUCUUCAUGCCAAAACCAGAACCUACUCUGACAGCAUUACCACAAAGACUUACACAGAAACCCUCAGUCAUGUGACCUGAGGAAAGGACCAGUCACAUGCUCUGCUGCCAUCGGCUGGUCUGUUUUAUUUUUUUGUUUUGUUAAUGCAGUAUUUAUCAUGUUCAGAGUUUGCCAAAUGUCAAAUAUACUGUGUGCUGUAACUGAAUUUUUUAUCUAAUUAAUUGUUCAUUCACAUUUGACUUGUGAAAGCAGACAAAAAAACCCACACAGUCAAAUUUUUAUUUACAUCUAUGGUUCAUAAACUACUCUUGGAUAACAUGGUGAGCAAAGAGCCCAACCAUUUGCCAACUGUUCACAGCCAUAGCAAUGGCAACCCAGACAAAACACCCACCACCGUGACUGUGCGCUCAGUGCUCCUCAACCGGAACUCUCCAGAUAUUGAAAGCAGACUUAAACGGAGACGAAAUCGCACACAGCAAGUACGUUUUAAAGAUUUGGAGGAUGAUGAUGAGUCUAAGAAUAAAAAUGACAAGCUGAGGAGUAAGAGCCCAACAGAGGUUCCAAACUGGCAGAAAGAGUUGACAAACGGGCCCUCGUUGGUGGGAGCAGUCCGUGGGGACAUGGAAAAGACAAUUGGAGCAGUGACAGCAUUUUUGAAGAGAGCACCACCGCACCCUCUUACCCCUGGGCCUGCCAGACGCUGCUGGGUCCCAACACAUCCAUGUUCUCUCACAUUGCCGCUGCCAACUCAGCCACGCAGGAGUACAGCCAUCCAAACCUCACCCAGUUUGCAGAAGCCUCCCUCGCUCUCUGCCACGCAGUCUCGCAGUCACAGCCUGGGGGGAGCUUGGGAUGACGGAGACUCCUCUGAUGAGCUGACCGCACAUGUCUACAUUCCACCUUGUAGAUCAAAGAAGAGCUCUGUCCAACAUUGUACCCCUGCUGAGCAAUCAAGGUGCCAGAGAACUGAGAAUAAUCAAACUGCCUCUGUGGGUACAUCAACACAAUUCCAGCCAUGUUCUGCUGUGCCACAAAAACAGUCUAGAAAGAGAGGUAGGAGGAAAUCUUUAAACAGAGCAGCAAGUGAUCCUGGGAAACCUGAGCCUCCUUGUACUUCCCCAACUAAAACUGUGCACAGAAGCCACCAACAGUCUAUCCAACCCAAGAAGCUUCCAUCCAAAGCUGUGGCGCACAGAACUUCGUCAGAUAUUGUAGCCAUGCAGCGUUCCCCCACGCCCAACACAGUUCAUAAUAUGCCAUGUAGUGUCUCUUCCACACAGACUGAAGCAAGCAUUGAUUCAAAAAUCCAAACUGUCCCAGACAACACAACAUCUUUGCAAAAAGCUGAAGUAGAUCCUGCAUCUUGCCCAUCUCACACUGCACCAUCUCCAUCAACCACAUGUACCAAAGAAACAUCACAAUGUUGCCCACAGCAGGCUGAUGCGGAGAACAUCAGUUUGACCCCCACUGUACCAGAGCCUUUGUGCACUACCACAGCACAAGUCAUAUCCACUGUCACCACAUUCUCAACACACGGGCAAUCAUGCAUGUCUCCUACUGAAUCCACAAGGCGUGGUUGCACACCUGCUAUUCAGAAUACAGCAAAUUGUAAGAUUCCCCCAUUACCAGAGUCCCAAAGCAUUCCAGAUUCACAUACAGAUCCCACAACUCCUGCCCAAUCCAGGCCUUGUUUCCAGAAGUUGAAGGAAACCAUUCCAUGCUCCAACACUGCUGGCUCAAAGGCAGCGGCCUGUUCUCAAGGAGCACCUGCAGUUGCCUCCACGUUCAGUUCCACACAGCCAUGCCAGAAGACUCCAACACAACCCAUGGCAUGUGACAACACCUCAAAUCAACCUGUGUACUCUGUGAUAUCUCCAACACAACCUGUAACUCCUAUUCAGUCUGUGCCAAGAUGUAUGAGUCCUAAACAGAAUGAGCCAUUGGGUAGGACCUAUACCCUUCCUGUACAGACUCCUAUAUCAGCUACACACACCCCAACACCUGUUCAGUCUACAUCAUCUUGUAAAAUUCCAAUGCAUUCUAUAACAUACUGUGUCAAAGACAAACCAGCAUCCUUUGGCUCUUCUACACAACCUACGGCACCUCAUAAGAUUCCUACACAAACCCUCCCUCACAAUGUGAUGUCAUUUCCUCCCGAUCCAUCCUGUGCCACUGCUCCACACCCUGUCUCACACUUCAAGGGCCCUAUUGCAGCUGCGGCACAUGCCAUUCCUGGUGCACAAACUGCAGUACAUUGCAUUUUGGAUCAUCAAAAUGUGGCAACCCAUGUGACUCCUUCCAUGCCAGUUCUGAUAUGCAGCUCUUCCACACAACCUGCACCAGGUAAACUUUCUGUUCAAGCAUUGCCACACUGCAACUCUAGUAUGCAAAAUGCAGUGUCAUGCAGUAAUCCCUCUCAAAUUGUGCAACAUUUUGCACAAAGACUCCCAAAAACUUUUACUCAAACAGUAUCACACUCCAAAUCAUUUCCACAAAAUAUGUCACCUGUUCUCUGUCCACAUGAGGCAAUGAUGUACGCAAGUAAACCACAGGAAACUGUGCUUCCCUCUGCUAAUUUCAGGCAUUCUUUACCUCCUUAUGCCUGCCCUCCACAGACUACUCUGCUGUACUCUAACGCUGGGGCGAGCCCCUCCCCUCCUCAGGCCUUCUGCUGCACUCAGGACAGACGAGACAGGAGAGAGUUCAUGCUUCCUCCCCCACCACCUCCUCCUCCUCCUUACACCCCUCGCAAUGAGGGCUCCUCUACUCCUGGACAGCCCUGUAAGCCUCCUGUCCCCAAAGCUGAGAGCAACAGUGCUGAAAAGGACAGAGUGAAAACUGGGGCAGUGAAGCCAAAUGCUGAAGCAGGAACUCGCCAUCAGGCAGGUGAAACCCCACCUCCUAUCCCUCCCAAAAGUAAGGCAAGAGCUAUGGUGAGGCCCACCUGUUUAAGUGUCCGACGGGCGAUCUUCGGCCCAGAAUCCCAGGCCAAUGCAAACCACUUGCCUCCUGCUGGGGGGACAAACCCCCUGGCCCCCCUUGGACCAGCGGAGGGCCAAUCGGACACACUGCGGCAGGUGCAGGAGCUACUGGGGGGGCUUAUGUCUGGGACUAAGUGUAAGCUGGACCUGGCAAAGGCUAAAGAGAAACUGUUUGGCCCAAAUGGCCCUCUGUACGACAUUGGGGCUCUGCAGUGUCAGCUGCACAGCCUGGAAGGGGUGUUGGAGACCAGCCAGAACACCAUCAAGGUUUUACUGGACGUCAUUCAGGAUCUGGAGAAGAAGGAGGCAGAGCGAGACGGAAGACACUCAUACCGAACGGGACAGGACAUUGAGAACUGUGGCACCUGCAGAGACUGUGCCUGUAUCAUAUACAGUGUGGAGCAUGACUUCCGGCUUCAGGAGGGUCAGGUGACGCGAGCGUGGAAGGUCCCGGAGCAGCAGGAGUCAGAGCAGAGCUCUCCUCAGCUGGUCUUUCCUCCUCCGCGCCAGCAGGACUCUCCACAGGCCCUCCAGACGGUCAAGAAGAGCCGCAGGAAGUGCUUCUGGUUCCUGUGAACUCUUUGAUAGCAGGACGUGACAUCAUUAGUCAACAAAGACGGUUCUCCAACCACCUUUAAGCCUCUUCUCUUCCGGUCCUCUGGUUUAACUUGUUUAGAGGCACAUCAUCCGCUUGACGAGGAGCCUUUGUUUAUUGUCUUUUUGAAAAACAUCUUCUGUAAUUUUCACACAAGGCGAAUCAAGAUUAAUGUACGGCUGUUCGAGUUGAUAUUUCAGAUUUAUAGUCCAUGGAAAGAAUUUAAAAUGUCCUUCAGUCUCAAAAAUGUGUUUUGAAUAAUAAUUCACCCAAAAUCAAAAUUCUGUCAUUAUGUCCUAUUUUCAUUGAUCUGUUCCUUGAAAGUGACAUAAGUGAUUUCUUAUGGAAUUACAAGUUGAGUGUUUCUGAUUGUUGACCAAUCAGGAAAGCUCUCGAGCUGUCAAUCAUUUUGAGUGUUUAUUUUUGUCGUUGGACUGCAUCUAUUUAUUCUGCUUUGAUUUUCCAGAUUUAUAGUUCAUGGUGAUAAUUUAUGUCUCAAAAACUGAGAACGGAGGGGAGAAGGGGCUUUUUGAUGGUUCAUGUACCUUUUGAGCCAAUACUUACUACCUGAAAAGGGAUGAACAUCACAGCAGACAGUGAUUGAUGCACAGUGACAGCAGGAGACGGGACGUUAAGGACACAUUAAAGAGAGAGAGAUGAAAGAGGAAUUACAGAUCCAGCACUAGUCAUUUCGAAUAGGUUCAAAGCCAUCUCGUCUGAAGUGUGAGUCACAAAGAGAAACUCAGCGGGCAUGUAAAAUGUGCUUUUCAAUAUGCAUUCAAAAGGAAAGACAGAUAGUCUGACACCAGUUCGACACGAAGUCCAGAGGAAAGGACCAAAAUACAGCAGUGGAUUUGCUGGAUGAUCUAGCAAGCCCUGAGGCAAGUUUCAGCUACAACUUCUGUUUCCUGCUGUGGAAGGAGAAACAUUGCCCUGAGCUUCCCUUGAAAUCACAGAGAACCAAAACCAAAGCCGAACAGCUGAGGAAAAGCUACUGUCCCCGAACACACUCGAAGGAUCCAACGGAUCCAUGAAUCUAAGAGACCAAUUGGGGCCAAACUAAGAGGCGAGUUAGUCACUGUAUCUUUACUAACAAUCAAGAAUUCUGUUUGAACAGAGAAAAUGUUGCCUUAAAAUGCUUGUUUGUUGUAUUGCAUCGUCAUUUUGAUUAA